rnacentral:rRNA from 1 species
GACGAACGCUGGCGGCGUGCCUAAUACAUGCAAGUAGAACGCUGAAGGAGGAGCUUGCUUCUCUGGAUGAGUUGCGAACGGGUGAGUAACGCGUAGGUAACCUGCCUGGUAGCGGGGGAUAACUAUUGGAAACGAUAGCUAAUACCGCAUAAUAGUAGAUGUUGCAUGACAUUUGCUUAAAAGGUGCAAUUGCAUCACUACCAGAUGGACCUGCGUUGUAUUAGCUAGUUGGUGAGGUAACGGCUCACCAAGGCAACGAUACAUAGCCGACCUGAGAGGGUGAUCGGCCACACUGGGACUGAGACACGGCCCAGACUCCUACGGGAGGCAGCAGUAGGGAAUCUUCGGCAAUGGACGGAAGUCUGACCGAGCAACGCCGCGUGAGUGAAGAAGGUUUUCGGAUCGUAAAGCUCUGUUGUAAGAGAAGAAACGAGUGUGAGAAGUGGAAAG